rnacentral:rRNA from 1 species
GACGAACGCUGGCGGUGUGCUUAACACAUGCAAGUCGAACGGAAAGGCACUGCUUUUGUGGGGUGAUCGAGUGGCGAACGGGUGAGUAACACGUGAGUAACCUGACCUAGACUUUGGGAUAACUUCAGGAAACUGGGCCUACUACCGGAUAGGAGCCCCCGCUGCAUGGUAGGCGUUGGAACGUUUCGGCGGGUGGGGUUGGAUUCGCGGGUAACCAGCUUGUUGGUGGGCUAGUGGCAUACCCAGGCAUUGACUGGUAGCCGGCUGGGGAGGGUGACCGGCCACAUUGGUACUGAGAUACGGCCCAGACGGCUACAGGGGACAGCAGUGGGAAAUAUUGCACAAUGGGCGGAAGCCUGAGACAGCGGCGCCGCGUUCGUGAUGACGUCCUUCGGGUUAUAAAACGCUUUAGCCUGUGACGAAGCUUGAGUGACGGUAAUGAGUGAAUAAGCACCGGCUAACUACGUG